rnacentral:rRNA from 1 species
AAACGACUCUCGGCAACGGAUAUCUCGGCUCUCGCAUCGAUGAAGAACGUAGCGAAAUGCGAUACUUGGUGCGAAUUGCAGAAUCCCGUGAACCAUCGAGUCUUUGAACGCAAGUUGCGCCCCAAGCCUUCUGGCCGAGGGCACGUCUGCCUGGGUGUCACAA